GCCCCAGUGGCUUAGAGGCUAUAGUAUCUCUGCUUGCUCACAAUCAGCAGGUCGCGCGUUCAAUUCGCGCCUGGGGCUCCA
rnacentral:tRNA from 1 species